UACGAGAGGGUGCGAGCGUUGUCCGGAAUCACUGGGCGUAAAGGGCGCGUAGGCGGCUGGCUAAGCGGGUGGUGAAAGCCCGGGGCUCAACCCCGGGUCGGCCAUGCGAACUGGUCAGCUGGAGCACGGUAGAGGCACAUGGAAUUCCGGGUGUAGCGGUGGAAUGCGUAGAGAUCCGGAAGAACACCGGGUGGCGAAGGCGGUGUGCUGGGCCGUAGCUGACGCGUGAGGCGCGACAGGCGUGGGGAGCAAACAGG
rnacentral:rRNA from 1 species